CAAUAGCGUAUAUUUAAGUUGCUGCAGUUAAAAAGCUCGUAGUUGGAUUUCGGGUGGGAAUGGCCGGUCCGCCGUUUCGGUGUGCACUUGCUACGCCCACCUUGCUGCCGGGGACGUGCUCUUGAGUUCACGCUCGGGACACGGAGUCGGCGAGGUUACUUUGAGUAAAUUAGAGUGUUCAAAGCAGGCCUACGCUCUGAAUACAUUAGCAUGGAAUAACUCGAUAGGACUCUGGCCUAUCUUGUUGGUCUGUAGGACCGGAGUAAUGAUUAAGAGGGACAGUCGGGGGCAUUCGUAUUUCAUUGUCAGAGGUGAAAUUCUUGGAUUUAUGAAAGACGAACUACUGCGAAAGCAUUUGCCAAGGAUGUUUUCAUUAA
rnacentral:rRNA from 1 species